rfam:Picea glauca, whole genome shotgun sequence.
AUGUACAUCCCUACAAUGUUAAUACAUUGGAUCCCAUCAGAACCCCAUAGUUUAGUGUGUUUGGGAUAGAGUAGUACUGGGAUGGGUGACCUCCUGGGAAGUCCUAGUGUUUUACUUG